rnacentral:rRNA from 1 species
UACGGGGGGGCAAGCGUGUUCGGAAUUACUGGGCGUAAAGGGCUCGUAGGUGGCCAACUAAGUCAGACGUGAAAUCCCCAGGCUUAACCUGGGAACUGCAUCCGAUACUGGAUGGCUUGAAUCCGGGAGAGGGAUGCAGAAUUCCAGGUGUAGCGGUGAAAUGCGUAGAUAUCUGGAGGAAUACCGGUGGCGAAGGCGGCAUCCUGGACCGGCAUUGACGCUGAGGAGCGAAAAGCUAGGGGA